rnacentral:rRNA from 1 species
UACGUAGGGUGCGAGCGUUGUCCGGAAUUAUUGGGCGUAAAGAGCUUGUAGGCGGUUUGUCGCGUCUGCCGUGAAAAUCCGAGGCUCAACCUCGGACUUGCGGUGGGUACGGGCAGACUAGAGUGUGGUAGGGGAGACUGGAAUUCCUGGUGUAGCGGUGAAAUGCGCAGAUGUCAGGAGGAACACCGAUGGCGAAGGCAGGUCUCUGGGCCACUACUGACGCUGAGAAGCGAAAGCAUGGGGAGCGAACAGG